rfam:Hepatitis delta virus antigen gene, complete cds, and autocleavage/ligation sites.
UCGGGUCGGCAUGGGAUCUCCACCUCCUCGCGGUCCGACCUGGGCAUCCGUAAGGAGAGCGUAGCUCCCUCGGAUGGCAAAGGGAGAUCCACC